GCUCGGCAGGCUGGAGAAAUAGCCUGAGAGAAGGAGGCAAGGGCAAAGUCCUGCACCUGGGAGAAAAUAACCCCAUGCAACAAUAGAAGCUGAGGGAUAGCUGAUUAAAAUGGGUUUUUGUUUCUUCUUGGAAGUCCUGGCACUCUUGGUACCUAGGCUCUGGUCUAGACUGGACCAGGUGAGUCCUGGUAACCCUCCCCUGAUGCACCUGGUUCAAAGACCUCCUCACCAGGAGAAUGAACCUCCUGAUAGAGGUGCUCUUUUUACCACUUGUCUUUUGCUCCUUUACCACUUUGGCAGGUGGGUCUCGCCCUAGCCUGUCAGGCCUUUUCCCUCAAAGCUUCCUAGGACCCCACUGUGACACCAGCUGUUGGCCGGCAUUUGCCAACCAUCCCUGAGCCUUUCCCUUUCACCAGAAGGAGCCAGGAGACCACUCCGUGCCUUUCUCCCUUGCCACCGGAGCUCUGGAAUAAAUGUGGAUAUCUGUAAGGUCACCCUGGUGGUAUCACUGUUGCCUGCAUGGACAAGCAGCAAAAGGUACUUGGUUCCUGCUCAGCUGGCUCUGAUGCCCCGCAGAUAGAUUGUUUUUCUCCUUGCCUGUUCCCAGGUGGGUGCAGAUCAGCUACAGACCUGAGAGCUACCAGGAACAUGACAGGAAGGCAAGAGAUGGAGUUUGAGAAGCUAUUAUCCUAUUAAUGGGAUGACACCAAUGGCUACUUCUGCAUGUCUAUUACUGUUCUUCAGUGCAACUUAGGUUGUCACCACAUUUAUAGAAAAAAUGCCAGUAACCUUUUGUUUGGGCUGUUUCUUGAACUGCUGCAUGGGCAAAUCUGGAAUCCCACUGCUCCCCUAAUUGAGCUCAGCUGAUGAUGGCAAAGAUAGAAACUUGCUACUGGUGGGCCUAGGUGAAUUUAAUGUUCUAAUGCUCUUCGUGGGGAGUGGAGGGGUCUUUCUGGAAAGAGAGGAGGCCAUGUGUACAGGGAUUGAAGCAGGCUGAAAAUAAACACCUAAGUGGGUAACUUUAAUCUACAGGCUAAAAAGCAACCUGUCUUCUGUUAUCUCGUGGGAAACUACCAUGAGGUAGUUUUACCUGAUUCCUGUGUGCAGCCUGGAUUUUUUAUCUGAUUCUCAGAUGAAUGAUUUUACCUUUGAUAACAUGGUACCACUGAAAAGCUUUUGGAGCCCAGAGUCAUGAUCGUGUCCAGAAGAGUUGCCAGCACUAUCAAAGAUAAGUAUGGAAAUAAGCAAUCCAAUGCAAAAUUGUACUGUUCAAGGUUAGGCUUUUACUUAAGGCAGAAUAUAAUCACAGCUUUAAUAUUCAUAAUAUGGAUAUACACAGAGUUUGUCCUGCCACUAUGGAGCUUAGUAUUAUCACUGCUUUUAAAAAGCUAUAAAAUCUAGUUUCUAUCAUAAUCUACAAUACAAAACUAAUACAAUAAACAUAUUCUGAAAGAUCACAGUGUUUAAAACAUCAGAAGAGCAGGGGUCCUGCUUUGAAAUGAUAAGGUGCAUUUCUAAAGAAUCAAAUCAAUCUUGAUUCUAUAGGGCCUGUACCAUAUUAUGGCUGCAAAUGGCUAUUACACUGAGAAACCGAUCUAGGGCGUGGCAUGUACUCAAGAAACAAACACCAUAUGUUGGAAUAUAUGAAUAAUCAAGCGUCACCAACACAAACUAGACAUAACACCCUUUGUUAAUAAUGCCAUUUAAAUUCCCUGUACUUUUUAUUGGUGUUGGCAUUCAUGUGUAUUGCAGACAUACUGAGGGAAAAUGGGAAUUAAACUGCUAUCAAAUAUGACCCUGCGUAUGCAAAUACUCAUGCUUUCCUCCUACUAUAUGAACAAGCCUAAUUCCAUGGGACUCCUGUGUGGAGGAAGGUUUGCAGGCUUGGGGCCCAGAAUGAUGCAGUUUUGCCUCUAUUUCACACCUGUGGAAGGACCUAACCUUGUAUGCCUGGAAUCAAGUGGAGGUUCACCACUGACAUCAGCCAGUGGUAUGUCAGGCCCCUAAAAUGAGCACAGGAGGCCAAAACAGUGGCAAAAUUGUUAGAGGAAAUCUUUCUUCUCUCAUGCGAGGUCACGAUAAUGAAGACAGAAGCAAAGUUAAAUUUCUGGUCAGAGACCCUUUCUCUUCUAUAUGAAGUAGAACUAAAUGUUUUAAUAGGAGUUGUCUUCUGUUCACUGUGGGGGUAUACCCGAUGUCAGGGCUUCUACAUAAAAUUGUCUGGGAGUAUGCAUGUAUAGUCAUGCAGUGCUGUUGCUGAAUAUCACUGCAUUAUAACAUAUCUUUUAUUCAAAUAUCAUUAUACCACUAGGCAAAAUGAGGUUUUAAUUAAUUUUCUGCUAUUCUAGUCAUUAUUGCUAUACUUGACCUAAAUGCCUCCACCUUCCCUUUGAGUCAUGCAAUGAACACAGACAGGGGCCUCCCUUGUAAGUAUUAAAAAUAAAUAAUGGCCUUAUGUAUCUUCACGCAGAUUGCUAUUUAUAAAUUGACUUUUUUCAGAACAUGAUGUAAAAUUUUAAAUACACAGGGUGCAGGACCAACAGUGGCAUCACUGGUGGUACAGAUUAGUCAGGAGGUUUAACAGCUCAAAGGUAGGUCAAACAGUUGGUGCACGUUGGCUUUUUGCAUCUAUUUUUUUUUAACUGCCUAAGCAUUGAUAGUGUGCAUCACUUUUAUUCCAUUACAUGAUAGGAGUAGGCAGUAGGUUCAGCUACAGACAACUCCUUCAUAGGCAGCCUUUUUUUCAGCAUAUGAUGACUUUGCUAUAAUGGCAAUGAAGUGUUGCUCAAGGCAGCUAAAACCUGUACAGUGCACAGCGUACCACUGUCGGUGCAAUAAAGCAGAAUGUGCUAUUUUCUAGGAAAAUGCCUGUUCACAUCCCUAAAUUGCUGUAUUGUUUCAUGGGCCCUGAGCAUUUUUUUGGCUUAUGGCUUUGAAGUACGUUGUUCCCUCAGUAACAUAAUUUUUGGUAAUUUUCUUAUUUUUUUCCAGUUUAGCUUUCUGCUGCUUUCUACUUAGUCCAGGAUAUUUAUGUUAACUGAAAUGUCUUCUCAGAGCAAUACAGACUGUGCUGUUAUCCAGCAAUUGCUCAUCAGUGUAGCUCUUCACAGGAAGAUUACUCUUUAAAAUGUACAGGGCAAUUCUUAUUCCUGAUAUACUAAUCUUCCUACAGAUCAGAAUAUGCGCUCAUGCCAGUGAAUAUUCAAGGUAUGUAGAUUACCGCACCUGAGGUUUACCUGGCAGACCUCAGAUAUACACUCUGUCCAUGGAUCUUAUAGGUCCAAGUAACAAGGGUAUAUUCUCAAAAUGCAUGCAUAUGCUAAAAUAGGCCACUGUUUGCAUAAAACGUGCAGUAUGUUGACAGAUGCUGCAACUGUAUCUGCAGAUAAUGAUAUAAGUAUAAAAAUUCGAUUGCUUACGAAAGUUUCCAUUUGCACGUAUUGCACCUGUAUGUUUCUGAAUACAUCUUUUUUUUUUCCACAGUAUUUUAAAAACUAAUCAGUAUUCUUGCAGUAUUCUCUACAUGUCCAUCUAAUUAUUAGAACAUCAAAGUGGCAUUACUUAAUUUCACAGAGUAGUGAAAAGGGUGACCACUUUACUUGCAUUCAUUUGUGCAUAUUUCCUAGAACUAUCUAAAUGUGUAUUUUGGGAUGUUUAGCCAUUUCAGUUGGUUUUGAUUGUCUUAUUGAGAUACUAGAGAUGUGAACAUGCUCCCUAGAAAGUCUCCCUUUGUUUUAUUUAAUGAUGUAAAUCAUCAGUGACAGUUGUUUUACAGUAUAAUGAUUUUUCCGUAGCAGGUGGGAAAUGGCAGAGCCAGUGAGAAGAGACCACCUGGGAGUGUAAAAUAAUGUAAUGCAAAUAAGUGGAACACCCCUCUUAAACAAAAUUAAUCAAUCUUAUUUUCAAGAACAAAAGACUGCUGCCUCAGUCUUCUGAAGUUAUUCAUAGGUUGGGAAAGAAAGGCAGGGAAACUGAAGGAAACAACGAUGCGAACAAAGUAGAUAUUGAAAGCAGUGGCACAAAACUAAUAUAUUAUCAUGCUAAGAAGUUGUCAGUAGCAGGAAAAAAGAUGUAUUUGUCAGAACUGUACUCUUGGUGAAACUUAUUGCAUCUGGCUCUAUGAAUCCUGAGAUCACUAAAUCUAGACGUUACAGAUCUAGUUUCCUUCAAAAUCAUUCCAUGACAGUAAUCUAUGGAUGACCUACCAGAUAGUAUAUAGCUCCUUAAACUGAUUUGUAAUCUACAGCUUUACUCACAAACGGCACCACACAAACACAGGUACAUCACAAAUAAGCACCAAUACCCACACAGUGCAUCUUCUUUGCUUUAACAGCAUAAUCAGAAAUACUACUAUAUCACUUAAAUUCCUAUUGCCUACACUUGAGAAACGAAACACAGUCAAGAAAGUAAUGCGCAAACGUGACGUAGUAACUUGUGUUUUACACUUCAAAAGAGGCUUCUCAAGUUUCUGGUAACACAGACUUUUGUCACAGCACCAUGGCAGAAUCUGUUCAGGAAUACACUUUUUCAGUCUAUUAGGGCCUGAUUCGGGAGCAGGAGGAGACAGCAUCCAGCUGAGAAUGUCUAGCAAAGGUUGCACGAUCGAUGUCUCAAAGCAGUAAGGAGGGAACACAAAGGACCUUAUUUUUUUAUUACACUGAAAAGUGCUGACAGCUCUACUCAGGUAGCUUUCCUGUCAAUGUCUUAGAAGGAACAAAGAUUGCAACAGCAUGUAUGUAACAGCAUAUAUAGUACAAAGGAAAAAAGCAGAUAGACAAUUAGGAGGAGGAAAAAGCUUAAAAAACCCUUCUCAUUUAAUGAUUGGUAAUUUCAGAAAUGCCCUGGGCUGUAUUUAAACCAUGCUCAGAAGCUGCGAUUACAGCGCAUCGAGUAGCCACCUUAACCCAGCUAAGUCAGGACUAAUCAAAUGAGGCUUCAUAUGGAGAAGGGUUGCAGGGAGAGAAGAUUCUUUUGCAGGUGCUGCUGAACACAGCACAGAGUGGAGCA